UUUAGAAGUAAACUAGUGGCUUCAUAAGUCAGUGGGACAAAGAAGCUCAACUAUAGAAAUAGAAGCUAUUGUCAAAUACAAUUGCUUACUUCAUGUUAGCAAAACUGGCAGGAGAUGGAUUAGGGUAUGAAUUAUUCUACCCAUUUUAUGAACAGGAGAAUUGAGGCUCUUGUUAAAGGAAAUAGUUGAUGGCAACAAUGGUUUACCCCUCUAUGAGUAUGAGUCCUUGUGGUUUCACUGUAGGCAGUGUGUCACUCAUCUUUCCCCUCUGAGUCUGUUAAAGUAACUUCCUUUGGACAUUAAAUGGGGUGAAGUAUAAGAGAACGGAAUCUGACUCUGGGUCUCAAGGGGCUGCAUGGAUUUACACAUUGCCUUCUUCUACAGUGGCUGUGGCUAUGAGAAGAGUUAAUUGGUGCACUCUCAGCCUGGGCACUGGCCCAGAGGCAGCACGUGGAACACCAGUGUGGGAGAGGCAGCCUGUGAGUAUUGAGGCUUAGCUGAGUCUGCGUGCUGUGAAUGGCAUAGUUCUAAUCUAGCAAAUUGUUCGAGGAGCUUGGUUAAUGCUGUCCUCACAGCUGCAGCUGCUUGAAGGGAGCGGCUCCUCCCUGCAUGUGCACUCAGGCUCGCACACGCACAUGUGCAAGGGCACUUUUCCUUCUGUAAGGCUCAAAUUGGCCUCCUUGUUCCGACUCAAAGCAGCUGUUUAUUUGUUGUUCUUGUGUUUUCAACUGUUGUGAUGAGGUUUGCUUCCCUCUUCUUUAACUGAAUUACGUGCAGUUUAGCUCUUCAGUGCAAGCUGCUGAUUGAGCUGGAUCCUUCUGUCGUGUAGGCUUCAGGUUCCUCCUUAUCCGACAGGAACUGCACAGACGAGGGCUACUUGGGUUCAGAGGCACCGACAAGGAAAGGAGAGAGACACAGCCACUUCUGCUGUUCCCCUUCAUCUGUCUGUGGAGAUGCAACUCUAAAUGAGCCAGGCAGGCAGCUGGGGUUGCAUGGCCUACAGGAACACAUCCUUUCCCCCUAAAAUGUCUCUAGACCCUCAGCGAGUGGUUGGAAGUUCAAGCAUCGAGAUCUAUCCAGUUUGUCUUAGUUUACUUUUGGCUGAUGCCACCGAGGUGACUUAUUGUAGCUGAAUGGAAUUUUUGGGAACUCCCUCAUAAACAGAAAAUAUAGGGUGUUGAGAUUCUGGUAGCAUAGACUAAAUAUCUCAGACUUUUCCUUCACUCUCUUGGGCCUUAAGUUCAGACAGAGGUCUCAAAGGGUCCAGAGAAGUUGUGCCACUCAAGAGUUUAUUUCAUCUUCGUGUUGCUAAACGCUGGCCUUUGGUCCUGUUUCUGCCUCCCAACAGGAUAGAACCAAGACUACUUUCUACCAUGGAAUGUGGCUGUAGAGGCAUAUAUGUUGAUUCGUUAGGAGAGUGCCCAUUGUGUGAUCACCAGCAAUUGCUUCCCUUUGCUGACACUGAGACUUUUAAACAUCGAAAUGAGCCCGGUGAAACUUGCUAGCUGUAAUUCUCUAACCCCAAAUGUACGUAAUUGGCAUUCACAUCAAUUUCUCAUCUUCAUUUCUUCUUCGUAGUCCUGCAGUGUCAGUUUGGUAUCGUUGUGAGGAAGAACUUGACUUUAAGGUACAUCAGGCACAGUGAUGAGUUUAAUGAAGUUUAAACAGACUCCAAGAGAGCGCUGCCCCGCAAACCUGAACUUCACUAGGCAGUAGUGUACCUUGGAUCAGGAGAUCAAGACAGCAUUGUGUAGGCCAACCACCAGAGCAGGUGUGAGUAGGGGGCAAGCCGGUCACAGAGCUCAAAAAAACCAGGGGGGGGGGGCCAAAAUAUGGCAGGUGGGAGCAGUUAUUGUUGGUCACACAGAAAGCUGUCUCUCAAGGAAGCAGUGUGUAUCCCUCUUACCUAUUACACAGGGUGGAGGUAAUCUAGAUCUAUCCUAUUGGGAGUCAGGAAGACAGGAACAGGACCAAAGCCUAGAAUCAAAGAACAGCCCACAAGGUUAGCAGGUGAAUACUCACACACCUGGUGCCAUCUCUCAGGGAGGCCAGAGAGCUGUGGGACAGGACCUGCAAUGUGGACUGGGGCUUCCAAAUCUGUACGUGAGUAUAUGGGGGUACCAGAGUUAGAGAGAGUAGAUGCUGAGCUUGGGAA
rnacentral:lncRNA from 1 species